UACGUAGGGUGCGAGCGUUAAUCGGAAUUACUGGGCGUAAAGCGUGCGCAGGCGGUUUUCCAAGACAGAUGUGAAAUCCCCGGGCUCAACCUGGGAAUGGCAUUUGUGACUGGAAGGCUAGAGUGUGUCAGAGGGGGGUAGAAUUCCGACGUGUAGCAGUGAAAUGCGUAGAGAUGUGGAGGAAUACCGAUGGCGAAGGCAGCCCCUGGGAUAACACUGAACCGCCUGCAGGCACCGAAAGGC
rnacentral:rRNA from 1 species